rnacentral:rRNA from 1 species
UGGGGAAUAUUGCACAAUGGGCGAAAGCCUGAUGCAGCGACGCCGCGUGAGGGAUGACGGCCUUCGGGUUGUAAACCUCUUUCAGUAGGGACGAAGCGCAAGUGACGGUACCUACAGAAGAAGCACCGGCCAACUACGUGCCAGCAGCCGCGGUAAUACGUAGGGUGCGAGCGUUGUCCGGAUUUACUGGGCGUAAAGAGCUCGUAGGCGGUUUGUCACGUCGUCUGUGAAAACCCGAGGCUUAACCUCG